rnacentral:misc_RNA from 1 species
CUGGUGAAUGAUGAUUGAGCUAAAAAUAAAAUAAAAAAGCUUUGCUUCCUGUUCUACGCUUGGCUGCUUCUCGUAAUCAGUCCGGACAAAGGAUUACAAGAGAUGGCUGAUGGAUGAAGACCGUGCCUAGAUUCCAGACGCACACAGAGAUAGGCUGCUUGGUGAUGAGGUUAGUCGUGAUUUGCGCCCUCUUACACUCUGUUUGGAUGUGGGCGAAAGAGAGGCGAACAAUGAUAAACAAAGGCAAAU